GGAAUCUUAGACAAUGGGCGCAAGCCUGAUCUAGCCAUGCCGCGUGAGUGACGAAGGCCUUAGGGUCGUAAAGCUCUUUCGCCAGGGAUGAUAAUGACCGUACCUGGUAAAGCAACCCCGGCUAACUCCGUGCCAGCAGCCGCGGUAAUACGGAGGGGGUUAGCGUUGUUCGGAAGUACUGGGCGUAAAGCGUACGUAGGCGGAUUAGAAAGUUGGGGGUGAAAUCCCAGGGCUCAACCCUUGAACUGCCUCCAAAACUACUAGUCUAGAGUUCGAGAGAGGUGAGUGGAAUUCCAAGUGUAGAGGUGAAAUUCGUAGAUAUUUGGAGGAACACCAGUGGCGAAGGCGGCUCAGUGGCUCGAUACUGACGCUGAGGUACGAAAGUGUGGGGAGCA
rnacentral:rRNA from 1 species